rnacentral:rRNA from 1 species
UACGCAGGGGGCGAGCGUUGUCCGGAAUUAUUGGGCGUAAAGAGCGUGUAGGCGGUUCGGUAAGUCUGCCGUGAAAACCUGGGGCUCAACCCUGGGCGUGCGGUGGAUACUGCCGGGCUAGAGGGUGGUAGAGGCGAGUGGAAUUCCCGGUGUAGCGGUGAAAUGCGCAGAUAUCGGGAGGAACACCUGCGGCGAAGGCGGUUUCCUGGACAGUUACUGACGCUCAGGCACGAAAGCAUGGGGAGCAAAAGGG